AUAUUCAACUGCUGAGCUGGAUUGCAAACUCCUCUCUGAUUGCCACAGCAUAUGCCACUCCCCUCAGUGCUGCCCGUCUCCUCUGGAUCACCACUCCACUGGUACUGGAGUGCAAGUGACAAGAUUUACUGCUCUGUCCAGGACCACCAGAACAAUGUGGGAUGGACGUGGUGGUAGUGGGCAACAAUCUCUUACUCUUGAUUUUCAAGGGAAUGCUUCUAAUAUUUCACCAUCAUGAUGUUUGGUGUUUUCAUGGAUGGCUCAGGCUGGUCAACCACAUGUAUGUGCCUCAAAUCUUUGCUCUGAAGAGAUCCACCACGAUGAAUGGAGAAGAAAUCCAAGCAGCAGUGGAGUAUUUCAUGUUGCCAGAGGUGUCUGAGGUAGAGACAAUGAGCAUGAUUUCCUGGGCCUUUGUGCAGGGGAACGGAGUAGGAGGAAGAGUAAAUCACGAUUUGGGGCCAGCACUGUAUUCUAAGAUAAUCAUUGCUCCUCUGGCCUCAAGCGUUUUCUGUACAUAACAGGGGCCGACCCAAUCUUUCUUUCUUCAAUCUUCCACCAAACUUAUGAUUUUUCCUUUUCUUCAU